GCACCCUCUGAUAAGUUUUUUUUUUUUAAUUUCAAGUACUGAAUAGACUACUGGACAAUUUUUAUAAACUAGAUAAGAAGUUGCUAGAUAAGGAAGUAAAGUUGCAACUUUAUAGAUAAUAGUGAGUUCCUCCAUUUACACUUCAAUCCCAUUUGACACUACUGACUAUCACCUUAAAACUCUUACCAUGGCUACUAGGACAUCUCACACACUCAGUCAUCCUUCCACCUCAAUGUCAAAAUGAUCUCUCACCAUAGGGAAGCUCUUCUUCCUCCUCUGAACUGUGGGCUUGCCCUCUAGGCUCUAGUCCUCAAAUUUCUGCAUUCUUCUUUCCAGAUUCAUUUCCUUGGUGAAUUCAGUCUCAUCAUGGCAUUGCCUAUCACCUCAAUGCACAUAACUUCCGUAUAAAAUGACCUUAACUGCAUGGGCGUGGGUAUGUGUGAUGACAGUGCUACAUAUUUAAAGCAUUUUGACAUUGCACAACAGUAAUGAUUAGCAUUGUACAGUACAACUCCCCCAGGUAAAAGGCUGCUCAGAGGAUAUGAGGCAGAGCUAGCUGUUGGCAUCAACGGUAGUGAAUUUCUUCUCCUCCCCAUAAAGCAAACCAAGUAAAAAUACUCCAUACACAGAAAAAAGUCACCAAAACAUGUGUUUAAAGUUCUCAGGGGAAUGGUAUUAUACCUGGUUCAGGGAUGGAAGAAACUAAAUAGAGGUAAUAAUUGGCCAAUGGAAGUAAGAAAUUAGACUUCACCAAAAUUUGCUCUAAAAAGACAUCAUAUUGAGGGAAAAUACUGUUAAUUCAAAUAUUCACAAAUAACUUGUAUCCAGAAAAUAUAAAGACUUAAAACUCAAUAACAAGAAGUCAAACAUUCAAUUUUUUUAAAUGAGCAAAUAAUUUGAAUAUAUAAGAGACACUGGUGGCAAAUAAGCACAUCUAAAGAUGCUUAAUAUCAUUCAUCAGAGAAAUCAAAAUUGAAACCACAAGAUUCCAUUGUACACCUACUAAAGUGAUUAUUUAAAAAAAUGACAAUAGUAAGUGCUGACAGGAUGCAGAGAACUGUAACACUCAUACGGUGCUGGUAAGAGUAAAAUUAUACGGUCAGCUUGGAAUACAGUUGGGCAGGUUUUUGUUGUUGUUGUUGUUGUUUUAAUCAGGUAAAACAUUCACCUACCACAGGUCCUAAGAUUUUACUCCUAGGAAUUUAUCCAAGGAAAAUACAAGCAUAUAUCCAUAAAAAGAAAAAUAUAAGCAUAUAAUCCCUAAACUGUAUGAUCAUAGCAGUUUCCAAAAAGUAAAAAACAGCCCAAACAUCCAUCAAUAGAUUACAACACAUGAAUGACUAAAAAAAUUGCAAUACUUCCAUGCAAUGAGACAUAAUUCAGCAAUACAAAAAUGCAAACUAUUGAUCUACACAAAAACAUGAACAAAAAUAGUGUGCUGAAUUGAAGAAGCCAAAUACAGGAUACACGCUCCGUAACUCCAUUUAUAUAAAGUUUACAAUAGGCAAAACAAAUCUAUAAUGACCAAACCCAGAUCAGUAGACAUCUGGGGUGGGUGAGAAUGAUUGCCAAGAAUCAUAAAGAAAUUUGGAAGGGGGGAGCUGGCAAGUGGCAUGGUGGCUGAGGGCGCUGGACUCCCACAUGGCCGACCAUGGUUCAAGUCCUGGACCUGAUGGCUUGCUUUCUCACCUUUUCCCACUCUGUCACUCUCUGGUCAAAUUAGAAUAAAUAAAUAAAGUUAAAUAAAAUCGUCUUUAAAAAAGAAAAAAAAAGAAAUUCAGAAGGGGGUUGGAUGGCAGACGUGUUCCAUAUCUUGACUGGGGAGAUGAGUACACAGUACACAUAUGUCAAAAUUUACUAAAUUAUAUAUUUAAAAUGGGUACAUCUUCUUGUGUGUAAAUUA